rnacentral:sRNA from 1 species
CUUGAGGCUCCAGUGGCUCAGCUCACUGGCUUCUGGAGGCUCCGGCGGCUCAGCUCACUGGCUUCUGGAGGCUCCGGCGGCUCAGCUCACUGGCUUCUGGAGGCUCCCGCGGCUCAGCUCACUGGCUUCUGGAGGCUCCGGCGGCUCAGCGCACUGGCUUCUGGAGGCUCCGGCGGCUCAGCGCACUGGCUUCUGGAGGCUCCGGCGGCUCAGCGCACUGGCUUCUGGAGGCUCCGGCGGCUCAGCGCACUGGCUUCUCGAGGCUCCGGCGGCUCAGCGCACUGGCUUCUCGAGGCUCCGGCGGCUCAGCGCACUGGCUUCUCGAGGCUCCGGCGGCUCAGCGCACUGGCUUCUCGAGGCUCCGGCGGCUCAGCGCACUGGCUUCUCGAGGCUCCGGCGGCUCAGCGCACUGGCUUCUCGAGGCUCCGGCGGCUCAGCGCACUGGCUUCUCGAGGCUCCGGCGGCUCAGCGCACUGGCUUCUCGAGGCUCCGGCGGCUCAGCGCACUGGCUUCUCGAGGCUCCGGCGGCUCAGCGCACUGGCUUCACGAGGCUCCGGCGGCUCAGCGCACUGGCUUCUCGAGGCUCCGGCGGCUCAGCUCACUGGCUUGGAGGCUCCGGUGGCUCAGUUCACUGGCUUCUGGAGGCUCCGGUGGCUCAGCUCACUGGCUUCUGGAGGCUCCGGUGGCUCAGCUCACUGGCUUCUUGAGGCUCCGGUGCCUCAGCUCACUGGCUUGGAGGCUCCGGUGGCUCAGCUCACUGGCUUCUCGAGACUCUGGUGGCUCAGCUCACUGGCUUGGAGGCCACCCUCUCGGUACCAGCAUAGCACGUUUCCAUUCAGUGGGCCCCUCAGUCUCUUAGGAACACACAUGAUUCCUAAGCACCUCCAUGCAGUUUCUCUGCUAAUCCUGGUGUGUAGUCUGUGCAGAGAACACUGCUGGGAGAGACCGAUGUCUAGUGGUGGGUUGUCACCUGUCAGUCGCCUCACCCCUCUGUUUUGUGGGAGCUGAAGGCAAAGCGCCUAGGUCUGUGGAGGGUGGAGGGUUGCUGCAGGCACCUGGGGGAACAGUUUGGUCAGUUUGGCGUUGCCCUCGCUAAUUGUUAAAUUACCCUGCCGUGGCUGAGGGGCAGGAAUAACACAGCCACCGGCGUAGUGUCCCACAGCUGAGCGGUCCCUCCCUGAGACUGCCCUGGGGUGCCAUCUCGCGCCCUUGCUCUGCUCGCAGAUCAGUCGCAUCGAAUACAUUCAUUCAAAGAACUUCAUCCACCGGGAUGUGAAGCCAGACAACUUCCUCAUGGGCCUGGGGAAGAAGGGCAACCUGGUGUACAUCAUCGACUUCGGGCUGGCCAAGAAGUACCGGGACGCACGCACCCACCAGCACAUCCCCUAUCGUGAGAACAAGAACCUCACGGGGACGGCGCGGUACGCCUCCAUCAACACGCACCUUGGAAUUGAACAAUCCCGAAGAGAUGACUUGGAGUCUCUGGGCUACGUGCUAAUGUACUUCAACCUGGGCUCUCUCCCCUGGCAGGGGCUGAAGGCCGCCACCAAGAGACAGAAAUAUGAAAGGAUUAGCGAGAAGAAAAUGUCCACCCCCAUCGAAGUGCUGUGUAAAGGCUACCCUUCUGAAUUUGCCACAUACCUGAAUUUCUGCCGUUCCUUGCGUUUUGACGACAAGCCUGACUACUCGUACCUGAGGCAGCUUUUCCGGAAUCUGUUCCAUCGCCAGGGCUUCUCUUAUGACUACGUGUUCGACUGGAACAUGCUCAAAUUUGGUGCCAGCCGGGCCGCUGACGAUGCUGAGCGGGAGCGCAGGGACCGAGAGGAGCGGCUGAGACACUCGCGGAACCCGGCUACCCGCGGCCUCCCUUCCACAGCCUCCGGCCGCCUGCGGGGGACGCAGGAAGUGGCUCCCCCCACACCCCUCACCCCUACCUCACACACGGCUAACACCUCCCCCCGGCCUGUCUCGGGCAUGGAGAGAGAGCGGAAAGUGAGUAUGCGGUUGCACCGCGGGGCCCCCGUCAACAUCUCCUCGUCCGACCUCACAGGCCGACAAGAUACCUCUCGCAUGUCCACCUCACAGAAUAGCAUUCCUUUCGAACACCACGGCAAGUAGCUGCUCGUCUCCCAUCGGAAGGCAGCACUGGAUUCCUGGUCGGGUGGCUUCCAGUGGUCUUCAGUCUGUCGUGCACCGAUGAGAACUCUCCUUAUUGCUCUGAAGGGCAGACAAUGCAUGGCUGAUCUACUCUGUUACCAAUGGCUUUACUAGUGACGCGUCCCCCGGUCUAGGAUCGAAAUGUUAACACCGGGAGCUCUCCAGGCCACUCACCCAGCGACGCUCAUGGGGGAAACAUACUAAACGGACAGACUCCAAGAGCUGCCACCGCUGGGGCUGCACUGCGGCCCCCCACGUGAACUCGGUUGUAAUGGGGCUGGGAAGAAAAGCAGAGAGAGAAUUGCAGAGAAUCAGACUCCCUUUCCAGGGCCUCAGCUCCCUCCAGUGGUGGCCGCCCUGUACUCCCUGACGAUUCCACUGUAACUACCAGUCUUCUACUUGGUUAAGACAGUUUUGUAUCAUUUUGCUAAAAAUUAUUGGCUUAAAUCUGUGUAAAGAAAAUCUGUCUUUUUAUUGUUUCUUGUCUGUUUUUGCGGUCUUACAAAAAAAUGUUGACUAAGG